CGCGCCCGGCCGAUAACACAGUUUCAUUGUGAAGACAGGCGGCUUGUAGUAGCAAAAAUUGAAACCGAAAAUGGCGACGUUACACAUUCUCCAAAUCCCUACUAAUUUACAUACCUAUCAAUUUCAGAGGCAAUCUCGUGUAACCCUAAAGGAGGUUAUCUCUGGAGAGCUUGGAGCAGCUCCAAUUCAAGUUCAGAGAUCCAGGGAGCCCAGAAUGCACAGCGCCGCGGGGGUGCCUCCCGCCAGAAGGCGGCGCUGUGGGAUCCCAGCCCGAGCCGUGUCCAGGCACAGGAAAGGCAGAGCGUUCUCAGCAUGCCCUGCCUGUGCCCUGGGCAACGGCCGCCGCCGAGCGAGAUCCCGGGGUCGCGCAGGGUGGGGCUGGGGCUGAAGGGCGCAGGCCCCGCGUACGGGGGCCGCCCCUGCUUUUCCUCCGCGAGACCAGAGCUUAGACUACGGCAGGACUAGUCCCUGGGGUUCCCCUUCGGGUGUCAGACCCUCUCUGGGCGGUCGCGGGAGGGCUCGGGCUCGCAGGAUCUGCAGGUGUUGGGGCUGGGGCAGUGGGGAGUGGUCCGUGGGCCCAAGAGGACGAAGCGGAGUCGGGCGGUUCCGGCUGGGAGGAGGCGCCUCCCCGGGGCUGCCCUGACCUAGUAAAAUCUGUGGGGAAGCCCUGGCCGGGGAGCCUUCCCCCAGCUCGCUCCCUGGGGCCUGGACAAAAGGCCGGGAAGGAAACGCAGCCCUGGGCUCUGCGGUCUUUGGAACAGAGACUGCGACUUUUCAUCUUCGUUUCCCACCUAGUGUGGGGCCCCCGUGGGUGCUGUACAAAUGCUGUGGAAUCAAAGAAUCAGUGGAGGAGUCCCGCACGCACCCAUUGAUUUUACUCAGUCCAGAGUUUCCGGAGAGUGCCUGCUUCCCUAAGCGCAGCUUGUGGGCGGAGACUCUGCUGGAUGAGGUGCAGAUUGGGAGAAAGAACAGGAAAUUACGGUCUCGCUCUGUCACCCAGGCUGGAGUGCAGUGGUGCCAUGUCAGCCGACUGCAACCUCCGCCUCCCGGGUUCAAGCGAUUCUCGUGCCUCAGCUUCCCAAGCAGCUGGGAUUACAGGCGUGCGCCACCACGCCCGGCUAGUGUGUGUGUGUGUGUGUGUGUGUGUGUG
rnacentral:lncRNA from 1 species